rnacentral:ncRNA from 2 species
AGAUAAGAUUGAGGAGCAAUAAUUAUCAGUAGUUAUAGAGGGUUAGCCAGCUAUAAUCUAUAAUGAAAGGAAUUAUUGCCGAAGUCUAUCCUAGUGGCUGCUAGGUUAGAUUGGGGCUGUAUUUAAUAAAUACAGAACUGUCACUAAUUUUUAGUGAAGGGCUAUCUUAUCG